rnacentral:rRNA from 1 species
UACGUAGGGGGCAAGCGUUGUCCGGAAUUAUUGGGCGUAAAGAGCGCGUAGGCGGUCCGGUAAGUCGGUUGUGAAAGUCGGGGGCUCAACCCUCGGAUGCCGAUCGAUACUGUCGGGCUAGAGUCCGGAAGAGGCGAGUGGAAUUCCUGGUGUAGCGGUGAAAUGCGCAGAUAUCAGGAGGAACACCAAUGGCGAAGGCAGCUCGCUGGGACGGUACUGACGCUGAGGCGCGAAGGCCAGGGGAGCAAACGGG